rfam:Flammeovirga sp. SJP92 Scaffold4_10, whole genome shotgun sequence.
CUUACUUGGGGAGAUCUCUUGGUUGCAGGUUCAACAAGAGAAGUCAGCAGAGGUCAUAGUAAGCGAUACAAGUACCGACAAGUUUCGGAGAACUCACCUCGCUGAAGGAC